rnacentral:rRNA from 1 species
GUACACAAAAAUGCACAUGCUGUGAGCUCGAUGAGUAGGGCGGGACACGUGGUAUCCUGUCUGAAUAUGGGGGGACCAUCCUCCAAGGCUAAAUACUCCUGACUGACCGAUAGUGAACCAGUACCGUGAGGGAAAGGCGAAAAGAACCCCGGCGAGGGGAGUGAAAAAGAACCUGAAACCGUGUACGUACAAGCAGUGGGAGCACGCUUAGGCGUGUGACUGCGUACCUUUUGUAUAAUGGGUCAGCGACUUAUAUUCUGUAGCAAGGUUAACCGAAUAGGGGAGCCGAAGGGAAACCGAGUCUUAACUGGGCGUUAAGUUGCAGGGUAUAGACCCGAAACCCGGUGAUCUAGCCAUGGGCAGGUUGAAGGUUGGGUAACACUAACUGGAGGACCGAACCGACUAAUGUUGAAAAAUUAGCGGAUGACUUGUGGCUGGGGGUGAAAGGCCAAUCAAACCGGGAGAUAGCUGGUUCUCCCCGAAAGCUAUUUAGGUAGCGCCUCGUGAAUUCAUCUCCGGGGGUAGAGCACUGUUUCGGCAAGGGGGUCAUCCCGACUUACCAACCCGAUGCAAACUGCGAAUACCGGAGAAUGUUAUCACGGGAGACACACGGCGGGUGCUAACGUCCGUCGUGAAGAGGGAAACAACCCAGACCGCCAGCUAAGGUCCCAAAGUCAUGGUUAAGUGGGAAACGAUGUGGGAAGGCCCAGACAGCCAGGAUGUUGGCUUAGAAGCAGCCAUCAUUUAAAGAAAGCGUAAUAGCUCACUGGUC